rnacentral:misc_RNA from 1 species
GGAAAAUACUGUUACAUCAGAAAACUGAAAGGAGGAAAAAUAAAGCAUGCCAUUGAAUAUCUCAUACUACACUAACAAAAACAUUUGUGGCUCAUAAUGCCAAUUGUAUCCAAACUAACUAUGCAUCAUGGUAAUGAUGCAACUUGUACAAUAACACUUUUCCUGCAGCAUUUCCUAGAGCCAUGAAUCCUCCGUGAGGACUAAAAUCCAAGCAGCGAGGAUAGUGCACAAACUGAUUUGGAGAGGGCCAGUUUGAAAAAACUGUAAAUGAUGGAAUGUGAACUAGCUUUGAGCUAUUUUUAUUCAUGCCAGAACUGAUGGCUAAUAUUUGGGCAUCAUGAUUAAACUUCAUAAAAUCCACUUUCGUGGUCAGAUUCUCAAUUGCCUUGAUCGGUCUUCUCUUUCCCCCUAAAAACUCUUGUUUGUUAUAGAUAUUUACGAUCCCACUGUCUGAACCAGAAGCAAACAAACUUCCAUUUGGCGAAGUGCAAAGAGCAGUACCAUUUAUGGACCCUUCGUCAACACCUUUGUGAAUGCAAGUCCUUGUCCUUAAAUCCCAAUGGUAAAUGUGGCCAUCUCCACCAGAACUCAGUAAUUGUUGUCCGUCAUCAGAGAAUGCCGCUGAGCGGACAGUUCCAUUCAUUUUUAGUGUCCCAAUGAGCUCCUUUGUUUUGGUGGAAACUAGCAAAAUAUAUCCUUCAUUACCAAGAAAAGCAAUUGUAUUUGAAUCAGGAGAUACCUCAAAACUUUCCAGGCUCUUUUCUUCCCUGCCGACUAGAGGACCUACUUUAUCUACACUUGCUUUGACCAAAUCUAAGACAUGGAAGAACUUCCUUCUUCCUGAUAUAAUAACUUGAGACCCAUUGGGUAAGAAAGAAGCCUUUUUAAUUGGAAAGCCUUCAAGAAAGAUGCUUUGGAUCAUCGUAUUUCGUUUCCCGUCAAUCUGGAAAAAUCUGAGUUUUUUAUCCAAUCCACCAACAAGGAGCAACUGAGAAUUCUUGUGGAACUGAACAGAAUUUAUCGGUGCAUUUGAGGAAUCAACUGUAUUAGCAUCAACUAGUCUUGAAUAUUCAAGAAGCCCCGGCAACAAUUUCGUGCGACUUUUGACAACAAGAUCUUCAUUUGAUUGAAGAAUAUCAUCCACCAACUUGACAUCCUUGGAACCAUAGUCAUCAAUAUGUUUACCUUCCUUGUCAGAAUCUUCAUCAUCAGAACUGUAGUUUCUGCUUUGAUAAUCAAUUUGGGCCCAUUCAGUGCCUGGAUUAAGUUUAGCAUGUUGAGCCCUUAGUCUUUCCACGUAUGUAGAACCAGAUACAACAUCUUCGCCCUCUUCUUUCCUCAGCUUCCUCAAUCUGUUGACACUUGCUAAUUUUAUUCUAGCCUUCUCUUCUUCAUCAUCUACCCACACAGGUUUCCGCUCUUUCUCCACUUCUAUGAUCCCUUCUUGCACUAGCUGUGCAUCUCCCUCAUAAACAGACAAUGCACUAUCGGCAGCCCGGUCCACAAAGAACAUAGCAGAAUCAUUUCUGCCAUCAUCUCGCUUUUCAUCGUCAUCAUCCUUCCCGAAACCAACUGGGUUAUACAAGGAUCCAAACAAUAAGUUCUCAAGCUUCUCCAUUUCCUGCUUAUCCUUGAUUUCUACUUCUUUAUUCUCUUCAUUGUGCUCUUUCUUUCUCUUCCUAUUAAUUUUUUUCUCACUUUCUUCCUUCCCUUCACCUUUCGUCUUCCUUUUAGACUUUUCAUCCCCGAUUGAAUGAGUAAUAUUCUGUGAUAUUAAGCUCGACAUUUCCCAAAUAUCCUAUCACUGAAACGAGGUGUUUUGCUUGUUUUUGUUCUACU